GACGAACGCUGGCGGCGUGCUUAACACAUGCAAGUCGAGCGGAAAGGCCCUUCGGGGUACUCGAGCGGCGAACGGGUGCGUAACACGUGAGUAAUCUGCCCUUGGCUUUGGGAUAACUACCGGAAACGGUGGCUAAUAUCGGAUACGACAACCGUCUGCAUGGGCUGGUUGUGGAAAGUUUUUUCGGCCCGGGUUGUGCUCGCGGCCUAUCAGCUUGUUGGUGGGGUAAUGGCCUACCAAGGCUUCGACGGGUAGCCGGCCUGAGAGGGUGACCGGCCACACUGGGACGGAGACACGGCCCAGACUCCUACGGGAGGCAGCAGUGGGGAAUAGUGGACAAUGGGCGGAAGCCUGAGCCAGCAGCGCCGCGUGAGGGAUGACGGCCUUCGGGUUGUAAACCUCGUGCAGUACCGACGAAGCGCCGAUGAUGGUGGUGACGGUAGGUACAGAAGAAGCACCGGCCAACUACGUG
rnacentral:rRNA from 1 species